GAUAUCCAAAAAUUAUUAAUGGAUUUAAGGUUGGAUUAGUGAUAUAACGUACAUCUCCUCCGCCCGGAGCCCAAGUAUCAUAAACUCCACCUAUAAACAUUGCUUUUACUACUAGUAAAAACGCUCCAACCCCCAAUAAAAUUAAAUGAAUACCUAAAAUUGUUGUCAUUUUAUUUUUAUCUCUCCA
rnacentral:antisense_RNA from 12 species